rnacentral:rRNA from 1 species
UAAUGUAUGGGGAUCUGCCCGAUAGAGGGGGAUAACUACUGGAAACGGUGGCUAAUACCGCAUAAUGUCUACGGACCAAAGCAGGGGCUCUUCGGACCUUGCACUAUCGGAUGAACCCAUAUGGGAUUAGCUAGUAGGUGGGGUAAAGGCUCACCUAGGCGACGAUCUCUAGCUGGUCUGAGAGGAUGAUCAGCCACACUGGGACUGAGAUACGGCCCAG